CGUGGAGUCGGGAAACAACUUUAGUCUUGAUUGCGUCUCCGUCCCGUUCGGUUGCGUCGUCCAAUCGAUGCCGUUUUUACUACGGCACUCUCCACACCCGAACGAACGAACGAAACCCUUUUUCGGUUAUCCUUAUAUUUUGUUUGGGGGGGGGAAUGUUGUUGUGCCGCAAGGAGAAUUGAUACGAACGUAGAGAAACGUCAAAGUGUGUUGUUGUUGUUGUUGUUGUUGUAGCCGAGUUGUAGAUGCUCUUUCGAUAUUUUGAUAUGGGGCGAGCGCGUGACUCGACCUCAUCCGUGACUCGGGGAAAAAAUAACAGGAGACACCCACCCUCUUCCAAGUUGGGGCCCCGGUUAUUUUCUCUUCUUAUUUUCCCGAUCUAAUUCUUAUAUGUCUUUGCUACUCCCCUUUAUGAUUGGUUUUGAUUGUUGGCCCUUUUUCUUGUCACGGCUUUUUUGAUUAUUUCCGAUUUUUCGGCUAUUCUUUUCUAAUAGACUCACGUCAAUUUGACGUAAGCGCCAUUGAGCAAUUUCCUACUCCCCCACAUCAACGGCCUUGUUGUCGUUUUUGAUUCCGAUCGAUCCGCAUCAAGUCUAUUUGUUCCGUGCACUCGAGUCUGCCAGCAGUGCUGCAGGAUGAUGUGCGUCUGUCGUGAGUGUGUGUCUGUCUGUGUGUGGGUCGGCUGUGUGUACGUGUGUGGUUGGUGGGGGGCGAGGACGAAGCCGCGGGAGUGACUGCUGGAAUGGAGGGUUUCGCGCGAAGGCAAGAUGUCGGCAUAGCUGACGUGAUAAUCCGAGUGUAGCUGUGUUACAUCGUGCCAACGUGAACCGCUCCCAAUGACUUCACCCGCCGCCGUCUAUCCCGCGGACUAGUUGUCCAACAACAACUGUCUCAUCGUCCGCUUAUUUUUUCUAUAUUUUCUCCUUUUGUCAUUUUCAGCCGAGAAUUUCUUGUUUGCUGAUUGUGUCGUUCACCUUUUGUCACCCCCUGACAAGGUGGGCGGAUGCUCCGCUUCCUCGUCUGCAUCCGCCCGUUUUUGAUUUCGUUGAUUCACGCUGAGGCCUUUUGUUUCUCCAUCUCUGAUUUCUCAUCUUCAGGUGGUGAUUUCAUUCCGUGUGUGUCUAACCUUCAUCCUCCUUUUUCUCUUUACCUGAUUCCGCCCCAUCCUCUCUAGCCGAGCCGGGCUGGGCUGGGCUGGGCGUGAUGUCAAUGAACGAUUUGCGCGAUCCGCCAUCGCUAGAUUCUGACAUGAUGAGCCCCAGCGAUGACGCCAUUCCCUUGUCGGGACAAGCCAGACCCGCCACAACCAAACAUUCCAGUACAACUCUGACGUUCCUGCCGGCCCGGCCAGGCCCCGUCCUUCUAUAAUAACCAACAUGACGCCGUGGACAAAAGGUAAACAGGUAUAUAAACGCAACCGCGAGAAGAGCAACAGCAGCAAACAGUUUCGCAUAGUAUCUGCACACGCAGGAUCAGCAGCUGGGCCAUGUCUCGUGCCGCCGCGGUAUUAUAAACUCCAAUUUCUUACAACUUUUCUUUUGUUAUUAUUAUUAUUAUUAUUAUGAUUUGGGUUGGGCGGCUGUUUUUUUUUUUCGAUUCACGACCCUCUGUGACCUGCGUGAGUUUGCCGCCUUCUAUUGACACCCGCCGCCCAAUAGUCAUAACUCUUGCAAUCAGCAGCAGCAAUCCGCAAUAGGAUCGUCUACCAGCAAUUGAAUGCUGACUAAUAAUCCAGCGGAUGGUUAUAAUACGUCGCAGCACAGGAGAGAGAAACCGCGGCCGAUCCAUUCGAGAUUGAGGUCGUCCAACAUAUUGCGCGCGCCCACCCCGUCUGCAUCAUAUGCGCCUACUACAACAACAACAGCAGGGGAAUUAUGAAUGAUAAUCACCCGGUUAUUAUGCAGUCAAACCUAAUAUCGAUAAUUUGAAUACAUACCCAAAGAAAAAAACAAAAAUUUCCCUUUUCGACUGGAAAGGCCGGCCGGUACGUUUUCCUUGACCAUCUGAUCUCACCGUCGGCGGCUCUUUUUCUCUCCACGUGCCGCACUUGGAGCAGGAAUGCCGCCGUCAACAUGUCCGGCUGGAGAUUAUCUCAGCCAGAGUUAUGUAACACGUCGUCAUUUAAUCGAGUUUAGAGACGAGCCAAUCACGUCGUCGUCAUCGCGGGAAUGUUUGAAUCGUGGCGCUCUUUUUUGGGUGGCAGAUCGAUACAUAACCGGGGCUAAAGUGACUGCUGCAGUUGAGGCACCGUCGUGAGCAGCAGCAGCAGCAAAUAACCAAGUUAUACAGGAAGAAAAAAAGAUGAAGGAACAGCAGCAGAGAUUUGUGGUGGUGGCCCGACCAGGAAAAUAUAAGAUUAUGGAUGGCACAGACAUAUCAGCAAGAGAGGCUGCAACUUCUUUUUUUCUUCCUAUCUCGACUGCACGUCUGCCGCUUGUUGUUCCGCGUGACGAAUAAAUCGUUUUCUUCUUCUCAACUCCUAUUGCGGAUGCGGUCGAUGAGAUUUAGAGAAGACGUCAACGGCCACCACCGGCGUUUGGAGUAAAAUCACGACUUGUGUGUGACCAUGUACAUCUUCUUCUUCCAUUUCUCUAUCGAAAUCCUCCGCAUUCUCGUCGUGAUUCAUCCAGUCCCGUUUUCUCCCCCUUUUAUUAUUACGCUGUUGAUAAUGAAAUGGACUAUGGGCCAUUUUGCUGGUCGAAAAAUACACCGCACUAUUAUUGUA